rnacentral:rRNA from 1 species
CGAGUGAAGCGGCAAUAGCUCAAAUUUGAAAUCUGGCUCUUUCAGGGUCCGAGUUGUAAUUUGUAGAGGAUGCUUCGGCUUCGGCCCCGGUCUAAGUUCUUGGAACAGGACAUCACAGAGGGUGAGAAUCCCGUAUGUGGUCGGCGGCCCCCGCCAUGUGAAGCUCCUUCGACGAGUCGAGUUGUUUGGGAAUGCAGCUCUAAAUGGGAGGUAAAUUUCUUCUAAAGCUAAAUACUGGCCAGAGACCGAUAGCGCACAAGUAGAGUGAUCGAAAGAUGAAAAGCACUUUGGAAAGAGAGUUAAAAAGUACGUGAAAUUGUUGAAAGGGAAGCGCUUGCAACCAGACUUGCCCGCGGUUGCUCAGCCGGUCUCUUGACCGGUGCACUCUUCCGCGGUCAGGCCAGCAUCAGUUCGGGCGGUCGGAUAAAGGCCUUGGGAAUGUAGCUCUCCUCGGAGAGUGUUAUAGCCCUCGGUGCAAUGCGGCCAGCCUGGACUGAGGUCCGCGCUUCGGCUAGGAUGCUGGCGUAAUGGUUGUAAGCGGCCCGUCUUGAAACACGGACCAAGGAGUCUAACAUCUAUGCGAGUGUUUGGGUGUCAAACCCGUACGCGUAAUGAAAGUGAACGGAGGUGGGAACCUUAGGGUGCACCAUCGACCGAUCCUGAUGUCUUCGGAUGGAUUUGAGUAUGAGCAUAGCUGUUGGGACCCGAAAGAUGGUGAACUAUGCCUGAAUAGGGUGAAGCCAGAGGAAACUCUGGUGGAGGCUCGCAGCGGUUCUGACGUGCAAAUCGAUCGUCAAAUUU